ensembl:lncRNA
UAUGUCCCCCGCACCCGCCAACUCAAUUUAUGUUUCCUAAAUUAAAAUAAGCUGAGGUUAGGCGAGGGGGCACUGAGGUGGUCUGAUUGUCUUCCUCUGGAUUCCUGCUGAUUCAGGCUGUUAGUGGAAAUGCAGGAGGAGGAGGAGGCGGAGGCGCUGGAGUUUGAGGCCUCCGCCGGUGAUUUACUGAAAGUAGGAUCGCACAAGGAGGUUGGUUGACAGCACUUAUCAGCGGUGCAUGGAUAACAGUUUGAGAAUUGUUGUUUUGCUCCCCGUGCAGCUGGUAGUUGGUGAAUUUGAUGUUGUGAGGACGUUUCGGCUCAGGAAUACUUCAGAGGUGGCUGUGCGCUUCAGAAUGGAGACCCGGCCUCCAUUUUCAGUGUUCAAGGCGAAGCAGAAAGUGUGUAGCAGCAGCACUUCUGCAGGAACUCUGGUGCUGCAGCCACGGGACACCAUGCAGGUGAAAGUGGCUUUUCACCCUACGGUGCAUCUGAUAAACCAGGCGGAAGAGAAAAUCCCUCCAGACAGCGAAAAGGCUCUGAAGAAGUUGACAUUUAAGCAAAACCUCCAGAUUCACUACAGCAACAACUCCCUGCAGAUCGUCCCUCUCUGCGCUCAUUUAUUCCUGUCCACGCUGAGUCUCUCCACUGACCGCCUCAGCUUUGGAGUUUGUUCUGUCGGGGAAACAAAAAGUAGAGAAACAACGCUUUCUUGCAGAGGAUCCCACACCUACUGGAUGUCAACUGCAAGUAACCCCGCAUGAAUUUACACAAACUUCAGAGAAGGCUUUUUUUUUUCGAUUGCCGAAUGUUAUUUCUUGCAAAAAUUCUUACCCUAAUGGCUCAUUUUCUUUAAAUAAGCACAGAAACUUAAAAAAAAAUCCCAAGAAUUCUUAUUUUAAGUAAAAAUUGCUGUCACUAUGAUUUUUUUUUUUACAAGACAGAAAAUAAGAAUUUUGCUCUAAACAACAGUCUUUUGUAGUUUUCCUGAAUUAAUUCUCUCCUGUUUCUACAGUCAGACAGUCGGGACGGGCACGUUUUCAAAGUUACACCAGACUCCGGGCUGCUCCGUCCAGAAGAGCCCCACGGGACCUGCAGCUCCAAACAGCAUCUUCAGAUCAGCUUCACUCCCAGGUACACAAACACAAACAAAAACAUGACAACAAUGACAUCAGACUCACACACGUGUGUGUGUGAAUGUUUCAGUGAGGACAGAGAGUUCAGGGCUGUGCUGAGGAUUCAGGCUCCUCUGGUCAAAACUCCUCUCACUCUGGAGCUCCGAGGAACGGGAACGUUGGAUGUAAAGUCGAGAUGCGUGUCCGAGUUAUCUCCUGUUAGCAUUUAAGUUUGGAAGAAUUAAAGAUUUGAAUGUUUCAGCUCAACAUUCUUAAUUUGAAUCAGAUGGGAUUCUGUUUAAUUUUUAUCUGUGCAUAAGUUUGAUAGUGAAGUAUUUGUCUUGACAAAUAUGUCCAAAGAGUGUGUGUCUAAAACUAAUAUUUAAUAACAAUGCUUCAAGUUGAUAUUUUUUUUAAAUCUCAAAUCAUUCUUUUUGGAGACUAUUGAAUUAUUGUCUUUGCUGAAGCAUGUGAGUCAGUUUGACAGAAGAGAAUUAAAAAAAAAAAAUUAGAAACAUAUUAUUUUUUGGCAAAAAUAAAAACAUUAAAUCUGAAACUGCUCACUGCUUUGACAAAUUCAUUAAAUAAAAGUUAAAAUCGUAACAUUUGGUUCAAAGAGCAUCAGCAGGGGAACGAUAUUGCAAGAAAUAUCCUGUGUUCACGUGGAGGAUGUAAAUGAAUGUAGUCGUUUUUUUUAUUUAUCAAUGAGGAUAAACGGCUCAAAAUUUCAAAAACCAUCAAAACAUUUUAACCUCACAAUUAAAAUGAAUAUGAAGGAUUAAAAGAUUAGCAUAGAGAACUAAAAACAUUAAGGACUCCAAAUCAGAAAUGGAUAGAAGCAUAAAUGGUUUAUGUGCUUUUGUGCAUUUAUUAACUUGUUUGGUGUUCAAACGGUGAAUGCAGCGGAUUUUAAAUAUUUAAAUUUGGGCCGGGACUUAAUUAAAAAAAUUAACUAAUUAAUCACAAACCUGGGAAAAAAAUUAAUCCCAAUCAAUUUUUUUGGUUACAGUAUUUUGUUUGUUGGUUUAUUAAGGAUCCCCAUUAGCUAAUGGACAUGUCAGCAGCUAUUCUUCCUGGGGUCCCACUUUCUUAAAACCACAAAUGCGAUACAUAAACAAACAGAUUUACUCGUACAUGUAUACAUUAACCACAAAAAAUGUUAACAGAAAUAAUAUGACAAAUACAAUAACAAUUAAACAAAAAACAAUUCAAAACACAGACAUUUGCUGACCACGAUAUGAAUCACAAUAUGAAAUCACACGCAAGGGUUUCUGGGAAUGGUUUUGAGGAUCAAUGCUGUUGAAUCGCUCCAUCCUGAUGUCGUCCUUGGAGUUGGGAAUUUGAAAUUUGCGGCCAAAAGUUGUCCACUUGCUAGAAAAUUAAUUUUUAAUUAAUGCUGUCAACCAACUUAAAUAAAUAAGAUAAAUAACACUUUUGUGUUGUGAUUGAUCACUAUUAAAUCUUACAUUUCUGCAGGUAUGUGUUUUCCAUCUAAAGUCUUUUAUGGAGUAAAAGAAAUAGCAGCCGGAGAGGAGAUUUUACUUCUUCUCCAGAGACCUCUCAUCCUCAGCACAGUUUAGCAGUACAGACAUCUGCAAGCAAUACAAGUCCACUGAGAGAUGCAAAUAUCCAAUUGAUAUUCAUUGCACUCACACAGAAAAAGGCAUAUCUGCAUGAAAAUGCUGGGACAAAGCGGAGUGAAUUGCUUAGCAGUUUUAACAUCCAUGCAAAGGAGGAGAAAUCUGCUUCUGAUUCUCUCUGUGGGAUUAUUAUGACUUCUUUUUGUUGUGAAAAUCAUAAAAAAUUUGUUGGUGUGUCAGCAAUCUGCUGCUACGUCUCUCCAGCUGACAAAUAUGAGCACCAGUCCUUCUCACUUUCCAUUACAUUGGAGGUUGCAUCAUCGAGACUACAUUACCUGUUGCGUAAGCGUCACCUGCAACCCGAAACUCGGACUCUUGACAGGGCGAACCCAGAGGAAAGCCGCCCAUCAGGAAUCGCCUGACGACAUGUUCAGACGAGGUAAAACUAUCAGAUAAGACUUUAAAGGGACGUGUUUCUGAGAAUUUAACUGCAGAGGUAAUCUGUCACACCUCUUCGUUUUAAAAUUCCGGUAGUGAAGGUUGCAGCAGAAUGAAUAAAUAUAUAUAUUUUUUAUUUAUAAAAAAUCUCACACUUGUCAUUGAGGUCAGAUUACACUUAAAUGUGUGACAUCCCUUUCAGAGCCAUGCAGGAGCUGCUUUUGUGAGGUGGUGAUGGCAUCGGGUUUUAGUGGUUUUCAGUCACGUACUGCAGAAAAAUAAAGGAGAAAAAAUAAUACCACCUUAAAUCUUUAAUUUGAACUCAAACAUCAAACGGUUGAGACUUUGUCUUUAUGUAUUAAUGGGAUUGCACAUUAAAACUAGGUAUGGAAUGACCUUCAUCCUCAAUUCUGACCUCAUUUCGUGAAAAAUUAUGAGGAAAAGUCCAAAAAACAAAUAACUGUUUCUUUUAUAUAAGUUAAAAAAAUUCUAAUAAUGCGUAUGAGAUGAGCCCUCCAACAGACCAAUUUCCCCUUUGUGGGAUCAACAAAGUUUUAUUCUGUUUUUAUUAUGAAUUACAAAAAGAACUGACAGGGUGGGAGGAAGGCAUAAUCCAAGAAAAUAUAUAAUUUAGUCAUCUGUAAAUUUAAGGAUGUAAUGUUUAAAAGUAUGAAUAGUUUCAACGGAUUGUUUAUUUGUUCUAUUCUUUUAGUUAGAAUUCUUCCCACUGCAUUUUUCCCACGGCCAUCAGGCUGCACAACAAUAUUUACAUAUUUACUUAUAUGUUUGUUUGUCUUUUGGCUAUUUGGAAUUACCGAUAUGUGAUUUGUUCUUGCUUUCUUUUGAGCUGCCAUUAAGAAUGUAAUGUCUCUUGUGUGAGAUCAAUAAAGUUGAAUUCAAAAUCGCACAAAAAAACUGAGGUUUCACAAUAAAGAAAUAAAUAAUGGAUUUCAACAGAAAACAAAAUUCCUUUAUUUUCCUAUGUUAAUAUUCAAUUUGGUUGUAUUAAUGAAGAAAAAAGAAUGCAGUUUUUAUUUAACAAGUGUAUUAAUUUAGGGACAUUUUUCAUUCACAUUUUUUUUUA